rnacentral:tRNA from 1 species
GCGCCCUUAGCUCAGCUGGAUAGAGCAACGGUUUUCUAAACCGUAGGUCGAAGGUUCGAAUCCUUCAGGGCGCGCCA